UACGUAGGGUGCAAGCGUUGUCCGGAAUUAUUGGGGCGUAAAGAGCUCGUAGGCGGUUCGUCGCGUCGGCUGUGAAAUCCCGAGGCUCAACCUCGGGUCUGCAGUCGAUACGGGCGGACUGGAGUUCGGCAGGGGAGACUGGAAUUCCUGGUGUAGCGGUGAAAUGCGCAGAUAUCAGGAGGAACACCGGUGGCGAAGGCGGGUCUCUGGGCCGAUACUGACGCUGAGGAGCGAAAGCGUGGGGAGCGAACAGG
rnacentral:rRNA from 1 species